GACGGAGGGGGCUAGCGUUGUUCGGAAUUACUGGGCGUAAAGGGCGCGUAGGUUGUUUAUUAAGUUAGAUGUGAAAUCCCUGGGCUUAACCCAGGAACUGCAUUUAAAACUAAUAAACUGGAGUGUGGUAGAGGAAUUUGGAAUUCCGAGUGUAGAGGUGAAAUUCGUAGAUAUUCGGAGGAACAUCUGAGGCGAAGGCGAGAUUCUGGGCCACAACUGACACUGAGGCGCGACAGCGUGGGGAGCAAACAGG
rnacentral:rRNA from 1 species